GGAGCUGUGUGCUCUAGUGGAGGAUCCACACUGGACACUGGACACUGUCAGGUUGGAGCCCAGUGGAGUCCGAUGGUUGAGACCAGGUCUGAGGAAGUGUAAGUGGAUUUCCAUUGGAUUAAAGAUGAAACCCAACCUGAACAUAGAGUGGGAGCUGGUACCACAUUAGAAAACACAGCAACUGUCAGUGAAGACAGAGGGGGAGCUGACAGCUGAUUGGUCAGGACACGGAUCACAUGACACAAAUACCCUGAGGGACGAGUCCUCAGAACCUCCGACCAUUGGCCGAUCACACCUCCUCUGUCUUUAUGGAUCAUUCUAGUGUGGUUCUUGUGCCGCUGUCUGAUAAAGGUGGAAGACCAACAAACAAUACAGUCAAAAACACAGCUGAGUCCAUCAGGAGGAAAGUUUGUCA